ensembl:lincRNA
AUGCAGCACCGAGCAGCUCCUCCUCAUACAGCUGCCGCCAGAGACGAGUCAGGGCCCCUGCUGACCCGGGCCGGGUCGGGGGUGACCUCAGCAGAGUCGCUGCUGGAUGCACGUGACAUGAGCUAUGAGGGAAGAGGUGUCUGGAGCAGCUGCUCCCUGACCCGCUGUCUGCGUCUGCCUCCCUGCUCUGUGCCUUCAGGGCGGCUGUUCCUGGAGGCGAGACCACAGUCUGUUCCACCCAGAAACCGGACCCUGCCCCUGUCUGAACGGGUCAUAGCGCCUUCCGGGAUGCACGGAGAGACGCCCGGUGAUGACCCUGCCCCGUCCUGGUCCUCCUGUGGCCCGGGAGUGCAAACACUCUGUGUGUCUUGCAAGAUGGGGAGGAGGAGGCUGUUGGGGAAGAGUUGAGGGGUUGCAGGCCAGCGAGCUACCAGGCAGGUCAUGGUCCAGUGUGUGGUCCUGAGGCCCUAAUAGCUCUCCCCCUUCCUCACCGGGUAAACUUCAGGCAGGUUUCUACACUGUGCCAGCCUCCAUUCUUCACUGGUCAAAUGGAAAGGGUGACUGUGUCUAUUCAGCGUAUAGUGAUUGUAAAUUUUGCUGUUGUUCUGUGGCUCAGUCGUGUCUGACUCUUUGCUGUCCCAUAGACUGUAGUCCACCGGGCUCCUCUGUCCAUGGGAUUCCCUGGGCAAGAAUACAGGAGUGGGUUGUCACGCCCUUCUCCAGGGGAUCUUCCCGAUGCAGGGAUUGAACCUGGAUCUCCUGCAUUGAAGGCAGAUUCUUUACUGUCUGAGCCACCAGGGGCUUGUUAAUUGUAUAUUUAGCAUAUAAUAAUUAUUAAACUGUUAGCAGAUACCAAGUGCUCGAUAAAGCGCUGUGCUGUUGUCUGAAUGUUUGUGUCCCCUCAAAAUUCAUCUAUUGAAGUCUUAACCUCUGAUGUGACAGAAUGUGCAGGUGAGGCCUUUGGGAAGUAAUUAAAUUUGGGUGCGGAAGUCGGAGUGGGGCCACCAUUAUGGGAUUGAUGGCGAGGAGUGAGCUCUCUGCCACCACCAGGAGCAGAACCCAGGAAGAGGGCGGGACCCCCAGCAGACCCUGGAAAGACAGCGCCCCCAGCGGAACCCGGGAAGAGAGCGCCCCCAGAGGAACUGGGAAGAGAGUGCCCCCAGCGGAACUUGUGAAGAGGCGCCCCCAGCGGAACCCGGGAAGAGAGCGCCCCUAGAGGAACCAGAGAAGAGAGCGCCCCCAGCGGAACUGGGAAGAGAGAGCCUCCAGAGGAACUGGGAAGAGAGCGCCCCCAGAGGAACCAGAGAAGAGAGUGCCCCCAGCGGAACUGGGAAGAGAGAGCCUCCAGAGGAACUUGUGAAGAGAGCGCCCCCAGUGGAACCCGGGAAGACAGUGCCUCCAGAGGAACUUGUGAAGAGGCGCCCCCAGCAGAAUCUGGGAAGCGAGCGCCCCUAGAGGAACCCGGGAAGAGAGCGCCCCCAGCGGAAUCCAGGAAGACAGUGCCCCUAGAGGAACCCGAGAAGAGAGCGCCCCUAGAGGAACCUGAGAGCGCCCCCAGUGGAACCCGGGAAGAGAGCACCCCCAGCGGAAUCCAGGGAGAGAGCGCCCCUAGAGGAACCCGGGAAGAGAGCGCCCCCAGAGGAACCUGGG